GUCGAUGUAUGAGCCUCUACACUUCAGUAAUGAACCUGGACCCUCACACACAGAGGAGAGGAAGAGGAGUCAUGUUUCUGAGGAGGAGCAGUCGUCCUGCUGUGCUUCGUGUCAGGACGUCCUGAAGGAUCCAGUCUCCACCAGCUGUGGACACUGGUUUUGCAGACAGUGCAUCACCUCAUACUGGGACCAGUCUGGUUCUUCAGGAGACUCCUCCUGUCCCCAGUGUGGACAAAGAUCCAGAACAGGAGCUGGAGAUCGUGGUCUGCAGGAGGUUUUAGAUGAACA